CCCCCGCCCAUUUUUGGUCGAGGGUGGGGAUAGGAGAUGGGAGGUACAGUGGGAAAACAUGUAAAGCCAUUCAGAUUUAAAAGGUUUUUGAGGAGGGACAGCUGGGUGGCUCAGUUGGUCAAGCAUCUGACUUCAGUUUAGGUCAUAAUCUCAUCGUUAGUGAGUUCCAGCCCUGCGUCUGGCUCUGUGAUGACAGCUUGCAGCCUGGAGCCUGCUUUGGAUUCUGUGUCUCCCCCUCUCUCUGGCCACCUCCACUCACCCUGUCUCUCUCUCUCAAAAAUGAAUAAACAUUUAAAAAAUAUUAAAAAAAAGGUUUUUGAGGAGUGUCUGGGUGGCUCAGUCCAUUGAGCAUCCAACUUUUGAUUUUGGCUAAGAUCAUGAUCCUAGGGUUGUGGGAUCAAGCCAGCAUUGGACUCUGCGCUGAUUGUGGAGCCUGCUUAAGUUUCUCUCUCUUCCUCUGUUCCUCCCCCACUCACUCUCUCUAAAAAAAAUAAAAACUAAAAGGUUUUUAAGGAA